rnacentral:rRNA from 1 species
AUAUGGGGGGACCAUCCUCCAAGGCUAAAUACUCCUGACUGACCGAUAGUGAACCAGUACCGUGAGGGAAAGGCGAAAAGAACCCCGGCGAGGGGAGUGAAAAAGAACCUGAAACCGUGUACGUACAAGCAGUGGGAGCACAGGUUUACCUGUGUGACUGCGUACCUUUUGUAUAAUGGGUCAGCGACUUAUAUUCUGUAGCAAGGUUAACCGAAUAGGGGAGCCGGAGGGAAACCGAGUCUUAAUUGGGCGUUAAGUUGCAGGGUAUAGACCCGAAACCCGGUGAUCUAGCCAUGGGCAGGUUGAAGGUUGGGUAACACUAACUGGAGGACCGAACCGACUAAUGUUGAAAAAUUAGCGGAUGACCUGUGGCUGGGGGUGAAAGGCCAAUCAAACCGGGAGAUAGCUGGUUCUCCCCGAAAGCUAUUUAGGUAGCGCCUCGUGAAUUCAUCUCCGGGGGUAGAGCACUGUUUCGGCUAGGGGGCCAUCCCGGCUUACCAACCCGAUGCAAACUGCGAAUACCGGAGAAUGUUAUCACGGGAGACACACGGCGGGUGCUAACGUCCGUCGUGAAGAGGGAAACAACCCAGACCGCCAGCUAAGGUCCCAAAGUCAUGGUUAAGUGGGAAACGAUGUGGGAAGGCCCAGACAGCCAGGAUGUUGGCUUAGAAGCAGCCAUCAUUUAAAGAAAGCGUAAUAGCUCACUGGUCGAGUCGGCCUGCGCGGAAGAUGUAACGGGGCUAAACCAUGCACCGAAGCUGCGGCAGCGAACGUAUCACCCAAGACAACUUUACGGAGUUGACGAUUGACGGAGCGAAGCGACGUCAAAGCGUUCAUUAAAGUCGAGUUGGCUUAGGGAUACGUUCGUUGGGUAGGGGAGCGUUCUGUAAGCCUGUGAAGGUGUGUCGUGAGGCAUGCUGGAGGUAUCAGAAGUGCGAAUGCUGACAUAAGUAACGAUAAAGCGGGUGAAAAGCCCGCUCGCCGGAAGACCAAGGGUUCCUGUCCAACGUUAAUCGGGGCAGGGUGAGUCGACCCCUAAGGCGAGGCCGAAAGGCGUAGUCGAUGGGAAACGGGUUAAUAUUCCCGUACUUGGUGUUACUGCGAAGGGGGGACGGAGAAGGCUAUGUUGGCCGGGCGACGGUUGUCCCGGUUUAAGCGUGUAGGUGUGUGUUCCAGGUAAAUCCGGUU